GGGAGGGGACAGAGGCGCGCCGUUGGGUUGAGACCUGAAGCGGUGGGAAUAGAUCAG
rfam:Felis catus isolate Cinnamon breed Abyssinian chromosome A2, whole genome shotgun sequence.